GACGAACGCUGGCGGCGUGCCUAAUACAUGCAAGUCGAACGCUUCUUUCCUCCCGAGUGCUUGCACUCAAUUGGAAAGAGGAGUGGCGGACGGGUGAGUAACACGUGGGUAACCUACCCAUCAGAGGGGGAUAACACUUGGAAACAGGUGCUAAUGCCGCAUAACAGUUUAUGCCGCAUGGCAUAAGAGUGAAAGGCGCUUUCGGGUGUCGUUGAUGGAUGGACCCGCGGUGCAUUAGCUAGUUGGUGAGGUAACGGCUCACCAAGGCCACGAUGCAUAGCCGACCUGAGAGGGUGAUCGGCCACACUGGAACUGAGACACGGCCCAGACUCCUACGGGAGGCAGCAGUAGGGAAUCUUCGGCAAUGGACGAAAGUCUGACCGAGCAACGCCGCGUGAGUGAAGAAGGUUUUCGGAUCGUAAAACUCUGUUGUUAGGGAAGAACAAGGACGUUAGUAACUGAACGUCCCCUGACGGUAUCUAACCAGAAAGCCACGGCUAACUACGUG
rnacentral:rRNA from 1 species